GCCGCGAGUAGCCUGCCACGCGCUCCACACUCCGUCGGCGGCGGCGCCGGCGUGGCGGACGCCGACGCCGAGCUGCAGGCGCGGCUCGACAACCUGCGCCGCGAGUAGCCUGCCACGCGCUCCACACUCCUGCUAAUGACUACGGAAUAAGAGAGACGGCAAAAACGCGACAGCGUGCUAAUUGUUUACAGGGUUAGCGAUCCGUGUCAGUCUCGGUAGUGAGAGGAAAUCUAAGAAUAUAAAUAUUGUGUUAAUUUGUUGUUCACAAACGACAAGUUAGAGUUUUCUAUGAGAUUUCGCUUAAAGGGCUGGUGGCUUUCAGGGCAUUAAAAAAACAAAAAAUUUACACAAUUCUAGGGAUUGACAUGGCAAGCUAUGCUGGCGCCAUCUGUUCAAUCCUUCGACCGGCCUACCCCAUUGCGUGACAGAAAAUUGCUAAUUUAAUAAGAAAAUUCUUUCCUAAUUUUGCUUAGUAGUUUCACUACCCCAUUGAAAUCGUUAACCUGUUUAUGAACGCGUGCGACACCAUUGUAGGUCUAUUAAAGAAACUCGCUUUAGCUUUGCACGAUUGUACCUACUCGUGUAUACUCAUAAUUUCAGUCGGAUCUUAAAUUCCGAUAUAAAACUAUUAUCCAUAGCAAUCAGCUAAGCGAACAAUAUUGAAAUGUAUUUGCAUAUUACUCUUUUACCGGCAAAAUAGCUAUGCAGAACAUUUACAAUCAAUAUUUCACUUCCGCAGAUAACUGUACUAUAACCAAUGGCGUAUUAAAAAUUCGUCUUUACAUUAAAAGUGAGAUUGGUUGAUGCACUCCUUUUCGCAAUAUUUUAGAUUGUUACGUGAAAAUACAAAUAAUUAAUUAAUGAAUACCAUGAAAUAAUUAUAUACAUACUAGCACAAAUCCGUUUCCAGUAUAGUACAUUAGAUCGUCUAUUAGGUAGGUUCAUCUUGUAAAAUAAGGACUAUUUUUACUUUCAAAGGAUCUAAUUAUUUUGUUUGGAGACCCUUGUGUUAGGACACCAGACGAGCCUCAACUCAACCAAUAGCAAUAAAUGGACACUCUAGUAAUGAUAAGCUAGCAACCCUGUAUUAUAUACCGCGCGCCGCGGAACGUCGAAGGAACGCAAUGUUGUUAUUAUAAUAAUUAAGUUUAUCUACAUUUUAAUAAAUAUUUUUGUAAUGAA